rnacentral:rRNA from 1 species
UACGUAGGGUGCGAGCGUUAAUCGGAAUUACUGGGCGUAAAGCGUGCGCAGGCGGUUUUUUAAGCCAGGUGUGAAAUCCCCGGGCUCAACCUGGGAAUGGCAUUUGGGACUGCAAGGCUGGAGUGCGGCAGAGGAGACUGGAAUUCUCGGUGUAGCAGUGAAAUGCGUAGAUAUCGAGAGGAACACCAGUGGCGAAGGCGAGUCCCUGGACACUUCCUGACACUGAGGCACGAAAGCUAGGGGAGCAAACAGG